GCACAACGCGAAGAACCUUACCCACCUUUGACAUGUACGGAAUCCUUUAGAGAUAGAGGAGUGCUCGAAAGAGAGCCGUAACACAGGUGCUGCAUGGCUGUCGUCAGCUCGUGUCGUGAGAUGUUGGGUUAAGUCCCGCAACGAGCGCAACCCUUGCCAUUAGUUGCUACAUUUAGUUGAGCACUCUAAUGGGGACUGCCGGUGACAAACCGGAGGAAGGUGGGGAUGACGUCAAGUCCUCAUGGCCCUUAUAGGUGGGGCUACACACGUCAUACAAUGGCUGGUACAAAGGGUUGCCAACCCGCGAGGGGGAGCUAAUCCCAUAAAGCCAGUCGUAGUCCGGAUCGCAGUCUGCAACUCGACUGCGUGAAGUCGGAAUCGCUAGUAAUCGUGGAUCAGAAUGUCACGGUGAAUACGUUCCCGGGUCUUGUACACACCG
rnacentral:rRNA from 1 species